AAGAAGGCGACCCCGAUUCUGAAGGGGAAGACCUUAACCCAGGGUUGGAGAUUGCCCCGGUUGUUGAUAUUGAGAAAUCUGACCCAAAGGAUACCGGGCUUCCUUCAGAUAUGAUUGUAAAUAAAAAUAGUGUAGGCGAGGAUGUUCUUAAAAAUGUAAGUCCCUUAAGGACUAUUUUCCCUUCAACCUCGUCAGAUAAAUAGAUUGUAAUAGCCA
rnacentral:lncRNA from 1 species